rnacentral:rRNA from 1 species
AGCAGCCGCGGUAAUUCCAGCUCCAAUAGCGUAUAUUAAAGUUGUUGCAGUUAAAAAGCUCGUAGUUGAAUUUCGGGAUCAAUUAAUUGGUCGUGCCUCUGGUACGUACUGAUUUUAUUGGUUUCUCCCUUCUGACGAACCAUGAUGUCAUUAAUUUGGUGUCGUGGAGAAUCAGGACUGUUACUUUGAAAAAAUUAGAGUGUUUAAAGCAAGCUAACGCUUGAAUACAUUAGCAUGGAAUAAUGAAAUAGGACGUUUGAUCCUAUUUUGUUGGUUUCUAGGAUCGACGUAAUGAUUAAUAGGGAUAGUUGGGGGCAUUAGUAUUCAAUUGUCAGAGGUGAAAUUCUUGGAUUUAUUGAAGACUAACUACUGCGAAAGCAUUUGCCAAGGAUGUUUUCAUUAAUCAAGAACGAAAGUUAGGGGAUCGAAGACGAUCAGAUACCGUCGUA